rnacentral:rRNA from 1 species
CCCUUAGAUGUUCUGGGCCGCACGCGCGCUACACUGAUGCAUUCAACGAGUCUAAAACCUGCUCUGAUAGGGGUGGGUAAUAUUUUGAAUGUGCAUCGUGAUUGGGAUAGAUGAUUGCAAUUUUUCAUCUUCAACGAGGAAUGCCUAGUAAACGCAAGUCAUCAGCUUGCAUUGAUUACGUCCCUGCCCUUUGUACACACCGCCCGUCGCUCCUACCGAUUGAAUGAUCCGAUGAAUAUCAUGGAUUGAGGAUGCAAGCAGGUUCGCCUGUCUUCAUCUUCGAGAAGUGAAGUAAAUCUUAUCAUUUAGAGGAAGGAGAAGUCGUAACA